rnacentral:rRNA from 1 species
UACGGAGGAUCCAAGCGUUAUCCGGAUUUAUUGGGUUUAAAGGGUGCGUAGGCGGACCUAUAAGUUAGUGGUGAAAGUUUGCAGCUUAACUGUAAAAUUGCCAUUAAAACUGUAGGACUUGAGUGUAAAGGAGGCAGGCGGAAUGUGUUGUGUAGCGGUGAAAUGCAUAGAUAUAACACAGAACACCAAUUGCGAAGGCAGCUUGCUAUCAUACAACUGACGCUGAGGCACGAAAGCGUGGGGAUCAAACAGG